AGAAUCAACGCUGGCGGCGUGCCUCAGACAUGCAAGUCGUACGAUUAAAGCUCUCUUCGGAGAGUGUAUAGAGUGGCGCACGGGUGAGUAACACGUAAGUAAUCUACCUUUGAGUGGGGAAUAACAGUCGGAAACGACUGCUAAUACCGCAUAAUGCAGCGGCAUCUAUUGAUGACAGUUGUUAAAGAAUUUAUUCGCUUAAAAGAGGAGCUUGCGGCGGAUUAGCUAGUUGGUAAGGUAAUGGCUUACCAAGGCAACGAUCUGUAGCCGACCUGAGAGGGUGGUCGGUCACACUGACACUGAAUAACGGGUCAGACUCCUACGGGAGGCAGCAGUCGGGAAUUUUGGGCAAUGGGCGAAAGCCUGACCCAGCAACGCCGCGUGAAGGAUGAAGUAUUUCGGUAUGUAAACUUCGUAAGAAUGGGAAGAAUCAAUGACGGUACCAUUUGUAAGGUCCGGCUAACUACGUGCCAGCAGCCGC
rnacentral:rRNA from 1 species